GGAGAGAUGGCUGAGAGGCUGAAAGCACCCGCCUGCUAAGUGGGUGAGCCCUCAUAAGGGGCUCCGCGGGUUCGAAUCCCGCUCUCUCCGCCA
rnacentral:tRNA from 1 species